AUAGUUUGUGCCUGCGCUCAGUCAGUCAUAGCUAGGUCUCCUGAGAGUUAGCGGCGGACGGGUGAGUAACACGUAGGCAACCUGCCCUCAAGACUGGGAUAACUACCGGAAACGGUAGCUAAUACCGGAUAAUUUAUUACAUAGCAUUAUGUGAUAAUGAAAGACGGAGCAAUCUGUCACUUGGGGAUGGGCCUGCGGCGCAUUAGCUAGUUGGUGGGGUAACGGCCCACCAAGGCGACGAUGCGUAGCCGACCUGAGAGGGUGAACGGCCACACUGGGACUGAGACACGGCCCAGACUCCUACGGGAGGCAGCAGUAGGGAAUCUUCCGCAAUGGGCGAAAGCCUGACGGAGCAACGCCGCGUGAGUGAUGAAGGUUUUCGGAUCGUAAAGCUCUGUUGCCAGGAAGAACGUCUCAUAGAGUAACUGCUAUGAGAGUGACGGUACUUGAGAACAACGCCCCGGCUAACUACGUGCCAGCAGCCGCGGUAAUACGUAGGGGGCAACCGUUGUCCGGACUUAUUGGGCGUACCCGCGCCCAGGC
rnacentral:rRNA from 1 species